rnacentral:rRNA from 1 species
GGGGCUACACACGUGUUACAAUGGGGGGUACAGAGGGCCGCUACCACGCGAGUGGAUGCCAAUCCCUAAAACCCCUCUCAGUUCGGACUGGAGUCUGCAACCCGACUCCACGAAGCUGGAUUCGCUAGUAAUCGCGCAUCAGCCACGGCGCGGUGAAUACGUUCCCGGGCCUUGUACACACCGCCCGUCAAGCCAUGGGAGCCGGGGGUACCUGAAGUACGUAACCGCAAGGAUCGUCCUAGGGUAAAACUGGUAAUUGGGGCUAAGUCGUAACAAGGUAAC